rnacentral:rRNA from 1 species
GGCGGCGUGCCUAAUACAUGCAAGUCGAGCGCAGGAAACAAGUAGAUCCCUUCGGGGUGACGCUUGUGGAAUGAGCGGCGGACGGGUGAGUAACACGUGGGCAACCUACCUUGUAGACUGGGAUAACUCCGGGAAACCGGAGCUAAUACGGGAUGAUCAUUUGAAUCGCAUGAUUGAAAUGUAAAAGUGGGGAGUAAUUCUCACACUAUGAGAUGGGCCCGCGGCGCAUUAGCUAGUUGGUAAGGUAAUGGCUUACCAAGGCAACGAUGCGUAGCCGACCUGAGAGGGUGAUCGGCCACACUGGAACUGAGACACGGUCCAGACUCCUACGGGAGGCAGCAGUAGGGAAUCAUCCGCAAUGGGCGAAAGCCUGACGGUGCAACGCCGCGUGAACGAUGAAGGUUUUCGGAUCGUAAAGUUCUGUUAUGAGGGAAGAACAAGUGCCGUUCGAAUAGGGCGGCACCUUGACGGUACCUCACGAGAAAGCCCCGGCUAACUACGUG